rnacentral:rRNA from 1 species
GUGCCAGCCGCCGCGGUAAUACCGGCAGCCCAAGUGAUGGCCGAUCUUAUUGGGCCUAAAGCGUCCGUAGCUGGCCGCGCAAGUCCAUCGGAAAAUCCACCCGCCCAACGGGUGGGCGUCCGGUGGAAACUGCGUGGCUUGGGACCGGAAGGCGCGACGGGUACGUCCGGGGUAGGAGUGAAAUCCCGUAAUCCUGGACGGACCGCCGAUGGCGAAAGCACGUCGCGAAGACGGAUCCGACAGUGAGGGACGAAAGCUAGGGUCUCGAACCGGAUUAGAAACCCGGGUAGUCC